rnacentral:lncRNA from 1 species
UUGUCACUGGCGACCCACGCGUGCCGUAUCAGUGGGACCCCGUGGGCCACUAGAACGACACUAGGCAAGCAACAUCUAAAAAAGGCUAGGCAUCUACGAUGACAGUGGCUCAAAAUUUGCCUCAAAUCCAGACCUACAACAUGCCGGCAACAUCUAUAACAUCCACAAAUUGUUGUGAUUUAGCCAGCAGCACAUAGCCGACAUGCACCUUGUAGGAGUGUCGUAAUAAAACUAGAGGGACAUAUGCUUUGCACUUCCACUGGAAGAUCUACUAAAAAAGAGGAAAAAUACAGCUGCAGUUUUCUAAAAAUACAUCAUACAUGCUUGCUAUUCCUGGAGGUUACUAGAUCCAUAAUAUACAACAGGUCCUAUAACAUCUACAAAACACAAGCAACAAAAUACUCUGCUGAAACACAUAUGUUCCCCCACAUGGAACCGCUGCGCUGACAUUAGCUCUAUACCAUGUAUAAUCUAGGAUCUCCAAAAUAUGAUACGUCUUAGUUCAGCUCAUGUUGGACAACAACAACUGCAUGCGUGUUUUGGAGGGGGAUUCCUGACGCAGAAAACAUCUAGGCUAGGCGACACAUCUAUAUCCGCAACCAUAUCAGUAAACAAAGCAAACUAUAUCCUAUAUGGCUACAACAAAAACACCUAUAUUGUGGGCACAUGAAUCGGGAAAAAAAUAAAAAGCAACUAUUUCGUCUACUACGAACCCCUAUAUCAAGCAACUAUAUAGCUAUUGGAAAAGCAAACUAUAUUUUGGGCACAUGUAUCAGAGGAAAAAGAACUAUAUCGACUAUUAUGCACCGAUAUCAAGCAACUAUACAUGCUAUUGGAAAAAGCAACUAUUUCAGCUUAAUUGUUUUUUUGGAAAAAAAAUGCAACUACAGUGCGAAAAGCAACUGUGUGAGCUUAUAGGCAACUGUGAGACUAUAUAGGGCAAAAGAAACUAUAAACCAGGUUACCAUACACGCAUCUAUAUUCAGGCAACCAUAUUGUGAUGAAAAAAAUGAAAAGGUGGG